rnacentral:sRNA from 1 species
AAUGUUAAUCUUGUUUUACUUGUCUUCUCACUGCAUUGCAGCUUAAGAAAUUAGUAUUGCAUGCUGCGAGCUCAGACUCAGCCAGAGGGCUAACCCAACAGAUUUUGAUGCCUAAAACAUCUUUAAGCUCAUUUAAAAUUCUUAAGCAUUUUAAAUCUAUUUAUAAUUAAAGUCUCAAAAAAACGAAGGUAAGGUUCGAACUGUCCACGAAAGAGUCACUAAUCUAUGAAACAAUCACUAGACUACGAAACAUUUUUAAAAUUUGAUGCCCUUUAAUAUUAUCUAUAAUUUUAGGCGCGUAAAGCAUGAGUUUCACCAACUUUAGCCCAGGGCCGGCCCUGCUCAGCCAUAAGAGAAGCAAAAGAUGUAAUGCAAAACUCCAAUACGCAGUAAUGAUAACAAAAAAAAGUUUGUUCGUUAAAGCUUAUCAAU